rnacentral:rRNA from 1 species
GUUCAGGGAGUCUGACAUCAAGAGCGCGGUUGUAGAUUCAAUUGGUCAACGCAACAGUUAUGUGAAAACAUGGGGUUGCGGAGGUUUGAACCGCCCCGGGUUUCCUGGAGAGUGUUUUAUCUGUGAACUCAGGCUGCCAGAUCAUCGUUUCCGAUGGAAGCAUAAUAAGCUUUUUCUGCUUCUGCCGGAGGAGUAUGGCCCAGCCUUUCCAGCAAUCGUCGAUUGUUAUACCAGUCCACCCACGUGAGUGUGGCCAGUUCCACUUCUGCACGGUUUUUCCAGCUCUUACGGUGUAUUACCUCCGCUUUGUAUGGACGAAGACUGACGCUCAGGUGCGAAAGCGUGGGGAGCAAACAGGAUUAGAUACCCUGGUAGUCCACGCCGUAAACGAUGUCGACUUGGAGGUUGUGCCCUUGAGGCGUGGCUUCCGGAGCUAACGCGUUAAGUCGACCGCCUGGGGAGUACGGCCGCAAGGUUAAAACUCAAAUGAAUUGACGGGGGCCCGCACAAGCGGUGGAGCAUGUGGUUUAAUUCGAUGCAACGCGAAGAACCUUACCUGGUCUUGACAUCCACAGAACUUUCCAGAGAUGGAUUGGUGCCUUCGGGAACUGUGAGACAGGUGCUGCAUGGCUGUCGUCAGCUCGUGUUGUGAAAUGUUGGGUUAAGUCCCGCAACGAGCGCAACCCUUAUCCUUUGUUGCCAGCGGUCCGGCCGGGAACUCAAAGGAGACUGCCAGUGAUAAACUGGAGGAAGGUGGGGAUGACGUCAAGUCAUCAUGGCCCUUACGACCAGGGCUACACACGUGCUACAAUGGCGCAUACAAAGAGAAGCGACCUCGCGAGAGCAAGYUGCGCCGAUCCUGACCAAAAUCGCCGCCGUUGCUGAAGAUGGCGAACCGUGCGUUACCUAUAUUGGUGCCGAUGGCGCAGGCCACUAUGUGAAGAUGGUUCACAACGGUAUCGAAUACGGUGAUAUGCAGCUGAUUGCUGAAGCCUAUUUUGAUGUUUGGCU